AAGCGAUUGAAGGUUGGGCAUUUUUUAAGCUUAAAAGGUGUGCCCCGAAAGAACUUUUAGUGAAACUGCUCUCUUUUUGCGUUGCUCUUGGUAAGCAAGCUACCUUGCAUUCUAAAGCUCAAAGUUUAGCGAAGAGAAGAAAGCAACUUAGUGCGAAAUGAGAGUGGAAAGAAGUGGCAGAGAUGAGGGUAGGCAAGGUUUGCUGACUCGUUGAGUUGCUGCUUUGAUAGUAGCAUAAGAGGUUACUUAGCUU
rnacentral:lncRNA from 1 species